GAUGAACGCUAGCUACAGGCUUAACACAUGCAAGUCGAGGGGCAGCACAAGGCAGCAAUGCUGAGGUGGCGACCGGCGCACGGGUGCGUAACGCGUAUCCAACCUUCCCGUUACUCAUGGAUAGCCUUCCGAAAGGGAGAUUAAUACAUGAUGGUGUUGAAAUUCCGCAUGUUAUUUCAACUAAAGAUUUAUCGGUAACGGAUGGGGAUGCGUGACAUUAGAUAGAUGGCGGGGUAACGGCCCACCAUGUCUACGAUGUCUAGGGGUUCUGAGAGGAAGGUCCCCCACACUGGAACUGAGACACGGUCCAGACUCCUACGGGAGGCAGCAGUGAGGAAUAUUGGUCAAUGGCCGGAAGGCUGAACCAGCCAAGUAGCGUGAAGGAUGAAGGUUCUAUGGAUUGUAAACUUCUUUUAUACGGGAAUAAAACCUCCCACGUGUGGGAGCUUGUAUGUACCGUAUGAAUAAGCAUCGGCUAACUCCGUGCCAGCAGCCGCAGUAAUAC
rnacentral:rRNA from 1 species